UCCUAUGUGGUGUAACGGUCAACAUUGCCGCUUUUCAUUUCCGAUGUGGUGUAACGGUCAUCAUUAAUGAGCGCGGCAGCCCGGGGUUCGAUUCUCCGCAUGGGAA